rnacentral:rRNA from 1 species
GACGAACGCUGGCGGCGUGCUUAACACAUGCAAGUCGAACGGUGAAGCGCCUUCCUUCUUGGUGAGUGUGGUUGCGUGGCGAACGGGAGAGUAACACGUGAGUACCCUGCACUUCUCUUUAGGAUAACCGAAUGAAAGCGUGGCUAAUACGGGAUCUUCUGGUUCUGUCGCAUGAUGGGUCUGGGACAGAUUUUGUUUAGGUGGGGGCUGGGCUCGCGGCCUAUCAGCUUGUUGGUUGGGUGAUGGUCUACCUAGGCGGUGACGGGUAGCCGGCGUGGGCGGGUGGACGGGCAGACUGGGUCUGAGACACGACCGGGACUCCGACGGGAGGCAGCAUUGUGGAGGAUUGCGCAGUGGGGGAUAUGCUGAAGCAGCGGCACGGCGGAAGGGGUGACGGCGUUCGGGUGGUGAAGGUCUUUCGCUUGUGAAGCAGUCCUGCCUCGGAUGUAGGGGCAUUGACGGUAGCUGGAGAAGAAGCGCCGGCUAACUACGUG